GCCCGUGUGGCCUAAUGGAUAAGGCGUCUUGCCUCCUAAGUAGAAGAUUGGCGGUUUCGAGUCCCGUCACGGGUA
rnacentral:tRNA from 1 species